AGCGAACGCUGGCGGCGUGCUUAACACAUGCAAGUCGAACGUGAAAUGUAGCAAUACAGAGUAAAGUGGCGUACGGGUGAGUAACACGUGGGUAAUCUACCUUAGAAUCUGGAAUAACCGGCCGAAAGGCUGGCUAAUACUGGAUAGUUCAAGUGCAUCGUAGAGGUGCGAUUGGGAAAGGAGCUCGCAAGAGCCUUCGUUCUAAGAUGAGCCCGCGUCUGAUAGCUAGUUGGUGAGGUAAUGGCUCACCAAGGCUGAGAUCAGUAGCUGGUCUGAGAGGAUGAUCAGCCACACUGGAACUGAAACACGGUCCAGACUCCUACGGGAGGCAGCAGUGGGAAUCUUGCGCAAUGGACGAAAGUCUGACGCAGCCACGCCGCGUGAGUGAAGAAGGCCUU
rnacentral:rRNA from 1 species